GGUCUCCCUCUGCUGGGCGAUGGAUCAUGGAGCCCCGAGAUCGAUUGCCCUGCAGAGGGAGGCC
rnacentral:pre_miRNA from 1 species